AUACGUAGGGGGCGAGCGUUAUCCGGAUUUGUUGGGCGUAAAGCGUGUGUAGGCGGUUUGUUAAGUUUAAGAUUAAAGCCCGAGGCUUAACCUCGGUUCGUCUUAAAAACUGGCAGACUUGAGUGCAGUAGAGGCAAGUGGACUUUCUAGGGUAGCGGUUAAAUGCGUAGAUAUUAGAAGGAACACCAGUGGCGAAGGCGGCUUGCUGGGCUGUUACUGACGCUGAGACACGAAAGCGUGGGGAGCAAAUAGGAUUAGAUACCCUAGUAGUCCACGCCGUAAACGAUGAGUACUAAGUGUCGGGUAACCGGUGCUGAAGUUAACACAUUAAGUACUCCGCCUGAGUAGUACGGUCGCAAGGCUGAAACUCAAAUGAAUUGACGGGG
rnacentral:rRNA from 1 species